rnacentral:tRNA from 2 species
AAUGAUGAGCCUGAUUAAAGGACUAUCGUGAUAGGAUAAAACAUGUAGCAAAAACUACCUUCAUUA